UUAAGCGACUAAGCGUACACGGUGGAUGCCCUGGCAGUCAGAGGCGAUGAAGGACGUGCUAAUCUGCGAUAAGCGUCGGUAAGGUGAUAUGAACCGUUAUAACCGGCGAUUUCCGAAUGGGGAAACCCAGUGUGUUUCGACACACUAUCAUUAACUGAAUCCAUAGGUUAAUGAGGCGAACCGGGGGAACUGAAACAUCUAAGUACCCCGAGGAAAAGAAAUCAACCGAGAUUCCCCCAGUAGCGGCGAGCGAACGGGGAGCAGCCCAGAGCCUGAAUCAGUAUGUGUGUUAGUGGAAGCGUCUGGAAAGGCGCGCGAUACAGGGUGACAGCCCCGUACACAAAAAUGCACAUGCUGUGAGCUCGAUGAGUAGGGCGGGACACGUGGUAUCCUGUCUGAAUAUGGGGGGACCAUCCUCCAAGGCUAAAUACUCCUGACUGACCGAUAGUGAACCAGUACCGUGAGGGAAAGGCGAAAAGAACCCCGGCGAGGGGAGUGAAAAAGAACCUGAAACCGUGUACGUACAAGCAGUGGGAGCACGCUUAGGCGUGUGACUGCGUACCUUUUGUAUAAUGGGUCAGCGACUUAUAUUCUGUAGCAAGGUUAACCGAAUAGGGGAGCCGAAGGGAAACCGAGUCUUAACUGGGCGUUAAGUUGCAGGGUAUAGACCCGAAACCCGGUGAUCUAGCCAUGGGCAGGUUGAAGGUUGGGUAACACUAACUGGAGGACCGAACCGACUAAUGUUGAAAAAUUAGCGGAUGACUUGUGGCUGGGGGUGAAAGGCCAAUCAAACCGGGAGAUAGCUGGUUCUCCCCGAAAGCUAUUUAGGUAGCGCCUCGUGAAUUCAUCUCCGGGGGUAGAGCACUGUUUCGGCAAGGGGGUCAUCCCGACUUACCAACCCGAUGCAAACUGCGAAUACCGGAGAAUGUUAUCACGGGAGACACACGGCGGGUGCUAACGUCCGUCGUGAAGAGGGAAACAACCCAGACCGCCAGCUAAGGUCCCAAAGUCAUGGUUAAGUGGGAAACGAUGUGGGAAGGCCCAGACAGCCAGGAUGUUGGCUUAGAAGCAGCCAUCAUUUAAAGAAAGCGUAAUAGCUCACUGGUCGAGUCGGCCUGCGCGGAAGAUGUAACGGGGCUAAACCAUGCACCGAAGCUGCGGCAGCGACGCUUAUGCGUUGUUGGGUAGGGGAGCGUUCUGUAAGCCUGUGAAGGUGUACUGUGAGGUAUGCUGGAGGUAUCAGAAGUGCGAAUGCUGACAUAAGUAACGAUAAAGCGGGUGAAAAGCCCGCUCGCCGGAAGACCAAGGGUUCCUGUCCAACGUUAAUCGGGGCAGGGUGAGUCGACCCCUAAGGCGAGGCCGAAAGGCGUAGUCGAUGGGAAACAGGUUAAUAUUCCUGUACUUGGUGUUACUGCGAAGGGGGGACGGAGAAGGCUAUGUUGGCCGGGCGACGGUUGUCCCGGUUUAAGCGUGUAGGCUGGUUUUCCAGGCAAAUCCGGAAAAUCAAGGCUGAGGCGUGAUGACGAGGCACUACGGUGCUGAAGCAACAAAUGCCCUGCUUCCAGGAAAAGCCUCUAAGCAUCAGGUAACAUCAAAUCGUACCCCAAACCGACACAGGUGGUCAGGUAGAGAAUACCAAGGCGCUUGAGAGAACUCGGGUGAAGGAACUAGGCAAAAUGGUGCCGUAACUUCGGGAGAAGGCACGCUGAUAUGUAGGUGAAGCGACUUGCUCGUGGAGCUGAAAUCAGUCGAAGAUACCAGCUGGCUGCAACUGUUUAUUAAAAACACAGCACUGUGCAAACACGAAAGUGGACGUAUACGGUGUGACGCCUGCCCGGUGCCGGAAGGUUAAUUGAUGGGGUUAGCGCAAGCGAAGCUCUUGAUCGAAGCCCCGGUAAACGGCGGCCGUAACUAUAACGGUCCUAAGGUAGCGAAAUUCCUUGUCGGGUAAGUUCCGACCUGCACGAAUGGCGUAAUGAUGGCCAGGCUGUCUCCACCCGAGACUCAGUGAAAUUGAACUCGCUGUGAAGAUGCAGUGUACCCGCGGCAAGACGGAAAGACCCCGUGAACCUUUACUAUAGCUUGACACUGAACAUUGAGCCUUGAUGUGUAGGAUAGGUGGGAGGCUUUGAAGUGUGGACGCCAGUCUGCAUGGAGCCGACCUUGAAAUACCACCCUUUAAUGUUUGAUGUUCUAACGUGGACCCGUAAUCCGGGUUGCGGACAGUGUCUGGUGGGUAGUUUGACUGGGGCGGUCUCCUCCUAAAGAGUAACGGAGGAGCACGAAGGUUGGCUAAUCCUGGUCGGACAUCAGGAGGUUAGUGCAAUGGCAUAAGCCAGCUUGACUGCGAGCGUGACGGCGCGAGCAGGUGCGAAAGCAGGUCAUAGUGAUCCGGUGGUUCUGAAUGGAAGGGCCAUCGCUCAACGGAUAAAAGGUACUCCGGGGAUAACAGGCUGAUACCGCCCAAGAGUUCAUAUCGACGGCGGUGUUUGGCACCUCGAUGUCGGCUCAUCACAUCCUGGGGCUGAAGUAGGUCCCAAGGGUAUGGCUGUUCGCCAUUUAAAGUGGUACGCGAGCUGGGUUUAGAACGUCGUGAGACAGUUCGGUCCCUAUCUGCCGUGGGCGCUGGAGAAUUGAGGGGGGCUGCUCCUAGUACGAGAGGACCGGAGUGGACGCAUCACUGGUGUUCGGGUUGUCAUGCCAAUGGCACUGCCCGGUAGCUAAAUGCGGAAGAGAUAAGUGCUGAAAGCAUCUAAGCACGAAACUUGCCCCGAGAUGAGUUCUCCCUGACUCCUUGAGAGUCCUGAAGGAACGUUGAAGACGACGACGUUGAUAGGCCGGGUGUGUAAGCGCAGCGAUGCGUUGAGCUAACCGGUACUAAUGAACCGUGAGGCUUAACCUU
rnacentral:rRNA from 1 species